GAUGAACGCUGGCGGCGUGCCUAAUACAUGCAAGUCGAGCGAACAGACGAGGAGCUUGCUCCUCUGACGUUAGCGGCGGACGGGUGAGUAACACGUGGAUAACCUACCUAUAAGACUGGGAUAACUUCGGGAAACCGGAGCUAAUACCGGAUAACAUGUUGAACCGCAUGGUUCAACAGUGAAAGACGGUCUUGCUGUCACUUAUAGAUGGAUCCGCGCCGCAUUAGCUAGUUGGUAAGGUAACGGCUUACCAAGGCAACGAUGCGUAGCCGACCUGAGAGGGUGAGCGGCCACACGGGAACUGACACGGUCCAGACUCCUACGGGAGGCAGCAGUAGGGAAUCUUCCGCAAUGGGCGAAAUCCUGACGGAGCAACGCCGCGUGAGUGAAGAAGGUCUUCGGAUCGUAAAACUCUGUUAUUAGGGAAGAACAAAUGUGUAAGUAACUAUGCACGUCUUGACGGUACCUAAUCAGAAAGCCACGGCUAACUACGUG
rnacentral:rRNA from 1 species